rnacentral:rRNA from 1 species
GAGUUUGAUCUUGGCUCAGAUUGAACGCUGGCGGCAUGCCUUACACAUGCAAGUCGAACGACAGCACGGGAGCUUGCUCCUGGUGGCGAGUGGCGAACGGGUGAGUAAUGCAUCGGAACGUAUCCUGGAGUGGGGGAUAACGUAGCGAAAGUUACGCUAAUACCGCAUAUUCUGUGAGCAGGAAAGCGGGGGACCUUCGGGCCUCGCGCUCUUGGAGCGGCCGAUGUCGGAUUAGCUAGUUGGUGAGGUAAAGGCUCACCAAGGCGACGAUCCGUAGCAGGUCUGAGAGGAUGAUCUGCCACACUGGAACUGAGACACGGUCCAGACUCCUACGGGAGGCAGCAGUGGGGAAUUUUGGACAAUGGGGGCAACCCUGAUCCAGCCAUGCCGCGUGAGUGAAGAAGGCCU